rnacentral:rRNA from 1 species
GCUGGCGGCAGGCUUAACACAUGCAAGUCGAGCGGGCGUAGCAAUACGUCAGCGGCAGACGGGUGAGUAACGCGUGGGAACGUACCUUUUGGUUCGGAACAAGACAGGGAAACUUGUGCUAAUACCGGAUAAGCCCUUACGGGGAAAGAUUUAUCGCCGAAAGAUCGGCCCGCGUCUGAUUAGCUAGUUGGUGAGGUAAUGGCUCACCAAGGCGACGAUCAGUAGCUGGUCUGAGAGGAUGAUCAGCCACAUUGGGACUGAGACACGGCCCAAACUCCUACGGGAGGCAGCAGUGGGGAAUAUUGGACAAUGGGCGCAAGCCUGAUCCAGCCAUGCCGCGUGAGUGAUGAAGGCCCUAGGGUUGUAAAGCUCUUUUGUGCGGGAAGAUAAUGACGGUACCGCAAGAAUAAGCCCCGGCUAACUUCGUGCCAGCAGCCGCGGUAAUACGAAGGGGGCUAGCGUUGCUCGGAAUCACUGGGCGUAAAGGGUGCGUAGGCGGGUCUUUAAGUCAGGGGUGAAAUCCUGGAGCUCAACUCCAGAACUGCCUUUGAUACUGAAGAUCUUGAGUUCGGGAGAGGUGA